rnacentral:sRNA from 1 species
CGCGCCUGCGAAGGAUGCAGCAGAGUUCCUUUAAGGUCUUGCAGGCGACCGGACUCCGUACCAUCCCGUGAUCGGCAAUUUUGCCGAUUCAAAAUCUUUC